AAAAAUAUCCGGUAAUCUACACUCAGACAAAAGGAUGGAAAAUUCUUCAUCUCGGAAACCAGCAUGGUGGUACCUACAGAAGCACAUUAGAUAUGACAAGGAUGCACAACAUGAAGAGACAACUCAUUUUCAGAGACUGCAGCAUGAGGAGCUCCGUUGAGGUUUCUUGGAGCAGCCCUCGUUCUGCAACUGGUGAAGCAAGACAGGGGAAGGGAGGGAGCAGAUUUCCACCUGAUUUUCUCCACGUGCUUGAAGACGAGGAGUUUCUGCUAACUGCUGCCAGGCCAGGAGCUGGGACUGCCCAAGCCACUGACACCCAGUGGUCCCAGACACGCAAACCAGCACCAGAACCCGAGCAAGUCUCCAGCUUCCUAGAGAAACAGCUUGCUCUUGUUACGUGGACACAGGGUGCCAAUACCACGGAGUCCCAAUCUAAACCAGGUCCCCUAGGCAUGGCAGGAAUAAGAAUCAUCAUCUCCAGAUUUCAUGGGUCUGGUUGAUCUGCAAGAAGCAAGACUGGGACUAACAAAUCUGUUGGGCGUGGAAAUUUAAAUGUCUAACAGUGAUCAAGGAAACAAAGGGAGAAGCCUGGAAUACUUCAUGGUAAAUGCAUAGCAAGUUACAGUAUAAUUCAAAUAGACUAAUAAAAUACCCUGAAAGAUAAAAGCA
rnacentral:lncRNA from 1 species